GACGAACGCUGGCGGCGUGCUUAACACAUGCAAGUCGAGCGGUAAGGCCCUUUCGGGGGUACACGAGCGGCGAACGGGUGAGUAACACGUGGGUGACCUGCCCUCAGCUCUGGGAUAAGCCUGGGAAACCGGGUCUAAUACCGGAUAUGACUCCAUGACGCAUGUUGUGGGGUGGAAAGCCUUGUGCGGCUGAGGAUGGGCCCGCGGCCUAUCAGCUUGUUGGUGGGGUGAUGGCCUACCAAGGCGACGACGGGUAGCCGGCCUGAGAGGGCGACCGGCCACACUGGGACUGAGACACGGCCCAGACUCCUACGGGAGGCAGCAGUGGGGAAUCUUGGACAAUGGGCGCAAGCCUGAUCCAGCCAUGCCGCGUGAGUGACGAAGGCCUAGGGUUGUAAAGCUCUUUUGGCGGGGACGGAUAAUGACGGUACCCGCAGAAUAAGUCCCGGCUAACUUCGUGCCAGCCGCCGCCGUAA
rnacentral:rRNA from 1 species